UACGAAGGGUGCAAGCGUUACUCGGAAUUACUGGGCGUAAAGCGUGCGUAGGUGGUGCGUUAAGUCUGUCGUGAAAGCCCCGGGCUCAACCUGGGAAUGGCGAUGGAUACUGGCGCGCUAGAGUGCGGUAGAGGAGAGUGGAAUUCCCGGUGUAGCAGUGAAAUGCGUAGAGAUUGGGAGGAACAUCAGUUGCGAAGGCGGCUCUCUGGACCAACACUGACACUGAGGCACGAAAGCUAGGGGAGCAAACAGG
rnacentral:rRNA from 1 species